rnacentral:sRNA from 1 species
UGAAGUGGUGCAAAGUACAUUUAUUUUUACAAUGAAAGCUCAUCUAUGAAUCUGAUAAAGGCCUUCCUUUAACUGGAGACAAUUUGGGAUGUUGCAAAACAAGGUUUGGGAAGCCCUUCUAUGGAUCGGUUUUGUCUCCAAGUCUGUCCCUGCCAAAAGCCAUCAAAAGUCUCCAUCACCCCUGGGCUCCAGUCUGCUACCCCCAGACUUGGCAGCUGGGAUCUCUCCUUCCUGGUUCAUAGUUCUCAUUCCCACCCCUCAGCGAUGGAGUUAGAGUUCCAGGCCCACGUGGUGAACGAGAUUGUGAGUGUCAAGAGGGAAUACGUAGUUUAUGAUCUGAAGACCCAAGUCCCACCCCAGCAGCUGGUGCCCUGCUUCCAGGUGACGGUGAGUCAAGUCGGGAGGAGGCCGACAGAGGGCUGCUGGAGGCGGGUGGGAGUGAGGAUGCACGGCCAGAGGCCAGGCCCCAUGCCCCCGAUGCCCACCUCCUUCCCCCCCGCCGGGAAGGCCCUGACUUUUCCCCUUCCAGCUGAGGCUGAAGAACACGGCGCUCAAGUCCAUCAUCGCUCUCUUGGUGCCUGCAGAGGCACUGCUGUUGGCUGACGUGUGCGGGGGGUUGCUGCCCCUCCGGGCCAUUGAGCGCAUAGGCUACAAGGUGACAUUGCUGCUGAGUUACCUCGUCCUCCACUCCUCCCUGGUGCAGGCCCUGCCCAGCUCCUCCUCCUGCAACCCACUGCUCAGUAAGCCCUGCUCCCUUACCCAGCCUGCCCUGUUUCUCCCCGGUCACCCACUGGUGCUCAGCUCGCUGGGCACCAGAGACACAGGGACUGGCCCCUGAGCAUCUCCCUGUGCCCUGCCUCCCCCAGUUUACUACUUCACCAUCCUGCUGCUGCUGCUCUUCCUCAGCACCAUAGAGACUGUGCUGCUGGCUGGGCUGCUGGCCCGGGGCAACCUUGGGGCCAAGAGCGGCCCCAGCCCAGCCCCGAGAGGGGAACAGCGAGAGCACGGCAACCCAGGGCCUCAUCCUGCUGAAGGUGGGCAGGGGCUGGGGGGUAAGGAAUGAGGCCUAGGUGCACACCUAGGGCUGGGGUGAGGGCCCGGAGGUCCAGGUGUGCGUAGAGGCCCCUUGCAUCCACCCUGCUGGCUCUCCUGUCCCUGGUCUCCACCAUGUCCUCCUCCCUUAGAAGAAACAGGUCUGGGGCAGGGAGCAAGCUUAGCCUCCCUGAAGUCCCAGGUGACCUCAAUCCCCUGAUAACCCAUGCCUUGCACAGCCUAAGAGGGUGUUUCUUCAACUGAAGAUGGCCUGAAAUGGGCCAGACCCAAAUUUUCAUCAGCUGAGAAUCUAAGAAAGGAAGCGAUACAGGCUGAUGACCCCUGGGGUUCACUCUUCCGCUCAUGUUGAGGGGACCUUGAAGAACAGCUCCUUUCCCUGUAUCUCUCCCCACAGAGCCCCCCAGAGGAGUAAAGGGGUCACAGAGAAGCUGGCCUGAGACUGCUGACCGCAUCUUCUUCCUCGUGUAUGUGGUUGGGGUGCUGUGCACCCAAUUCGUCUUUGCAGGAAUCUGGAUGUGGGCAGCAUGCAAGUCUGACGCAGCCCCUGGAGAGGCUGCACCCCAUGGCAGGCGGCCUAGACUGUAAAGGGGCAGGGCCUGGCCUGCACACCUUAGGAUGAAGUUUGCUUUCCCAUGGCUGGGGGCGGGCCAUGACAGGGCCUCUGGAUUAAGCCACCCUGAGCUCUCCCUCCGCUAGCACACAAGCACAGAGCGUGAAAUAAACCCAUCUCCAGUGCAAGUGUGCCUCAAGGGUCAGUCUUCAAUCUCGUCCUAAAUAGGUGGGGCCCUAUUUUUUGCUUCCAACCCCCAUUUUGCUCCUUAACUUUUCCCCAUUGUCCCUGUCUCCCAGCCCACAGGCAGGCAGCCUAAUUGCUCCUUCUGCAACCACGACUGCCUGGCCCUGGGCCAAGAGGCACUGAGGCUGGGGACCAGAGACAGGGGCCUGAGGAAGGCUGUAGAGGGUGGGGCGGAACUCCUCCCCCGAACGCCUCCUGCAGUGUGCUGGACUCUAGGGAAAAUGGCCAGUGAGCCUGCCUCCCCCAGCCACCUAGGGGACUCCUGGGAGGGAAAGGUCCCAGACCUCAGGCCUGUGGGCGGGCGGGAAUGUGUUUUAAGGGAGGGGGUCAGUCCCGACUGCCUUUCCUCCAGGAGCUCUGGCUGCUUCUCUGAGCCCUGCCACAUCUCUGGGCUGUAGGGGAGUUCUCUGUCCCCACCUCUGACCUAGGCUGGAGGGAGGGCCCUUCUGCCCUGCUGCUCUUGGUACACAUGGAGCAGCAGUGGGCACAGGCCUCUGUCUUCCUUCUCUCUUUUCCUGUUUCAGAAGCCAUCAGGGUCAUAAAAGCCAAGGUGUGAAGGGACCCCAGGCUUCCGGGAGAGUGCUGGUUCGGCUGGGAACACGGGCUGUGGGGAAAAAGCGGAAACCAGGACUAGAGGGCUCAGGGACACAGCUCCUGGAUGGGGUGGUGGAGACAGGUCUCUGUCCCAAAGGACUUCAAGCUCACCCAGCCCAGAGGCAAGUUAACACUGGUUUAUCUGUCCAAUGACACGCCAGUCUGGUGGAACCAGGCAGGGCUAGCAGCAGGCUCAGGCAGAGGUGUCGAAA